UACGUAGGUGGCAAGCGUUGUCCGGAUUUACUGGGCGUAAAGAGCGCGCAGGCGGUCGGAUAAGUCGAAUGUGAAAGCCCCCGGCUCAACUGGGGAGGGUCAUUCGAUACUGUUCGACUCGAAGGCAGGAGAGGGAAGUGGAAUUCCCGGUGUAGUGGUGAAAUGCGUAGAUAUCGGGAGGAACACCAAUGGCGAAGGCAGCUCGCUGGGACGGUACUGACGCUGAGACGCGAAAGCGUGGGGAGCAAACAGG
rnacentral:rRNA from 1 species